rfam:Callithrix jacchus chromosome 16, whole genome shotgun sequence
GGCUGGUCUGAGUGCAGUGGCAUUUACAACCAAUUGAUCACAGCCAGUUACGGAUUUCUUUGUUCCUUUUCCAGUCCCACUGCUUCACUUGACUAGCCUUUA